GACGAACGCUGGCGGCGUGCUUAACACAUGCAAGUCGAACGGAAAGGCCCUGCUCUUGUGGGGUGCUCGAGUGGCGAACGGGUGAGUAACACGUGAGUAACCUGCCCUUGACUUUGGGAUAACUUCAGGAAACUGGGGCUAAUACCGGAUAGGAGCUCCUGCUGCAUGGUGGGGGUUGGAAAGUUUCGGCGGUUGGGGAUGGACUCGCGGCUUAUCAGCUUGUUGGUGUGGUAGUGACUUACCAAGGCUUUGACGGGUAGCCGGCCUGAGAGGGUGACCGGCCACAUGGGGACUAAGAUACGGCCCAGACUCCUACGGGAGGCAGCAGUGGGGAAUCUUGCACAAUGGGCGGAAGCCUGAUGCAGCAACGCCGGGUGCGGGAUGACGGCCUUCGGGUUGUAAACCGCUUUCGCCUGUGACGAAGCGUGAGUGACGGUAAUGGGUAAAGAAGCACCGGCUAACUACGUG
rnacentral:rRNA from 1 species